UCAGAACAGUGCCUCAGGAUGA
rnacentral:misc_RNA from 1 species